AUCUGUGAAGCAAAUUCAACAGCAUUUCAACUUUCUACUUUUCAUAUCAGGGAGGCAUCUGUCUAAAGGAAAUCUAGCAUCAGAUUUUGAAUCCCAGAGGGGAAACAAACUAACCUGACAGGUCCUAAAGAAAGAAUUCAAAGCUCCUACCAGCCACCAGGAACUAAGCAGUGUGUGAAACCCCUUCAAAGACACAAGCGUGGUGCACAGUAGGUCUCUGAACCUUAAGGUGAAUCUUAAUUACAAAGACGAGGUCAUUUCUAAGGAAUUUAAGGAAUGUAUUUACUGAUACUUUAAGUGUUGGAAAAAGCUAGAAAUAAGUUUUCUUUUAGCAAUGGAGAAAAGAGUGAAUAAAAA